AGCAGCCGCGGUAAUUCCAGCUCCAAUAGCGUAUAUUAAAGUUGUUGCAGUUAAAAAGCUCGUAGUUGAAUUUCGGGAUCAGUACGCUGGUCGUGCCUCCGGUAUGUACUGGUGUCACUGAUUCCUCCCUUCUGAAGAACCAUCAUGCCAUUCACUUGGUGUGGUGGGGAAUCAGGACUGUUACUUUGAAAAAUUAGAGUGUUUAAAGCAGGCUCGCGCUUGAAUACAUUAGCAUGGAAUAAUGAAAUAGGACGUUUAUCCUAUUUUGUUGGUUUCUAGGAUUGACGUAAUGAUUAAUAGGGAUAGUUGGGGGCAUUAGUAUUCAAUUGUCAGAGGUGAAAUUCUUGGAUUUAUUGAAGACUAACUACUGCGAAAGCAUUUGCCAAGGAUGUUUUCAUUAAUCAAGAACGAAAGUUAGGGGAUCGAAGACGAUCAGAUACCGUCGUAGUCUUAACCAUAAACUAUGCCGACUAGGGAUCGGAUGAUGUUAAUUUUUAAUGACUCAUUC
rnacentral:rRNA from 1 species